GUCUAUAACUAUAGGCUGUCUACCAAGCUCUGUUUGCAGCCUGAUACCGACAUUUUCUCAAGCUUAUUUAAGCUCUCUGUGUCAACUUUUGACCUACACUGAGUGCAUUACCUAAAACUAAGAGCAUUGUGUUAUCUUCUGUCUCUAAUCAGCUGAUUCUGUAACGCAGUCCCUGCUUUAAAGCUUUGUGGCGAGUUCGGCGUUGUCUGUUGUCCCGAGUUGCCCGCAUCAGUGAGCAUGGCAGGACACGGCUCUUUUUACGAGGCAAAAGGCCCAGCUGCCGAUGGAAGAAGUAUCCGCACCUCAUCCUGUGUCUCUGCUGCUUGGCCCCGGCUGCUGUCCAUGGUGCUGAAGACUUCCUCUCGUCCCCGAGAGCGACAGAGUUUACUGGAAAGCUGCGAUAACAUCCAGCUGUCGCUCCCGUUCAAGUUGUCGGCCAUCAGCAAAUACUGGUUGACGUUUGCCAUGCAACUGCGAGAACCAAUUUGAUAAUCAGAGAACUCGGAAGCAGCGGCAAUGCCUGAAAGCAAUGGAAAGACAUCGUAAGCGGGGUCAGUGGUGCUGCAGCUGAGCAGAUGUGUGCACCAUGUGCACCUCAACCCUCCAGCAGCGGCCCAGUCCUCACAGAUGCGGUAGCCCACUGCAGACACAAAGGGACACAAUCGACUCCAUCAACGGAGUUAACCGAGAUUAAAAAAAUAUGUUGUAUGACAUAAGCUGGACACUGAAAGAACUUGUUAAUAAAAAGUUAUUUCUUUCCAUACCUCUUUUGUUAAUACAAGUGAUGC